AGAGUUUGAUCCUGGCUCAGGACGAACGCUGGCGGCGGGCUUAACACAUGCAAGUCGAACGGUUCCUUCGGGGACAGUGGCAGACGGGUGAGUAACGCGUGGGAACCUACCCGGUACUACGGAAUAGCUCCUGGAAACGGGAAUUAAUACCGUAUACGCCCUUUUGGGGAAAGAUUUAUCGGUAUCGGAUGGGCCCGCGUUGGAUUAGUUAGUUGGUGGGGUAAUGGCUUACCAAGACGACGAUCCAUAGCUGGUCUGAGAGGAUGAUCAGCCACACUGGGACUGAGACACGGCCCAGGCUCCUACGGGAGGCAGCAGUGGGGAAUAUUGGACAAUGGGGGCAACCCUGAUCCAGCCAUGCCGCGUGAGUGAUGAAGGCCUUAGGGUUGUAAAGCUCUUUCACCGGAGAAGAAAUGACGGUAUCCGGAGAAGAAGCCCCGGCUAACUCGUGCCAGCAGCCGAAUACGAAAGGGGGCUAGCGUUUCGGAAUUAUGGGCGUAAAGGCACGUAGGCGGACCAUUAAGUCAGGGGUGAAAUCCCGGAGCUCAACUCCGGAACUGCCUUUGAUACUGGUGGUCUAGAGACCGAGAGAGGUAAGUGGAACUCUAGUGUGGGGGAAGGUUUGCGAAUCUGAUUCUGGUAGAUGAAGAACACAGGGCGAAGGACACUGGCUUCGUUGACAGCUAGGUGGAAAGCGUGGGGAGCAAACAGGAUAGAUACCCUUAGUCCACCCGAAACGAUGAACACCGUGGGGGUUUCCCCUUCAUGGCGCAGCACGCAUUAAGCUUCCCGCUGGGGAGUACGUCGCAAGAAUUAAAACUCAAAGGAAAUUGACGGGGCCCGCACAAAGCGGUGGAGCAUGUGGUUUAAUUCGAAGCAAACGCGAAAGAACCUUACCAGCCCUUGACAUCCCGUGCUACCUGGAGAGAUCCAGGGUUCCUUCGGACACGUGACAGGUGCUGCAUGGCUGUCGUCAGCUCGUGUCGUGAGAUGUUGGGUUAAGUCCCGCAACGAGCGCAACCCUCGCCUUUAGUUGCCAUCAUUUGGUUGGGCACUCUAGAGGGACUGCCGGUGAUAAGCCGGAGGAAGGUGGGGAUGAGGUCAAGUCAUCAUGGCCCUUACGGGUGGGCUACACACGUGCUACAAUGGCGGUGACAGAGGGCAGCUAGGCCGCGAGGUCAUGCUAAUCCCUAAAAACCGUCUCAGUUCGGAUUGCACUCUGCAACUCGGGUGCAUGAAGUUGGAAUCGCUAGUAAUCGCAGAUCAGCAUGCUGCGGUGAAUACGUUCCCGGGCCUGUACCCCGCCCGUCACACCAUGGGAGUUGGUUCUACCCGAAGCCGGUGCGCUAACCUUUUGGAGGCAGCCGACCACGGUAGGGUCAGCGACUGGGGUGAAGUCGUAACAAGGUA
rnacentral:rRNA from 2 species